rnacentral:tRNA from 1 species
GCGGGCAUAGCUCAGUCGGUAGAGGUGAAUGACAUCCGUCGUUCACCGAUUGAAAGCAACGGACUGUUAAUCCGUUGGUCGUAGGUUCGAUCCCUACUGCCCGCG